CCCACUUCGGCCUCCCAAAGUGCUGGGAUUACAGGCAUGAGCCACAGCGCCCAGCCAUUUUUACAAUUUUUACAUAUGAAAUAUAACAAUCUUUUCCUCUAUGGCAUCUGUCUUUUGUGUCCUGUUUAGAAAGGUCCUCUCUAACCCAAGAGAUAAAAAACAUUCUCCAAAUCUUCAUGUUUUUUUGGUUUUGUUUUCCUUACAUAUCUUCUAAAGUAAGGUAUUUUUGUGAAUGGUGUCAUAUAAGAAUCUAAUUUUUAAUGUUAAAGUUAUUGAUGGAUUAAAAAAUGCACACAGUAGUCAUAAAUUCAUAAGGUAACUAGUUAUGAAUAGACAUAACAGAAACAAUCUGAAACGUCACAUUUUCAUGCACUAUGUAUACAUACACAUACACAGGGUAUCUUUUUGGACUCUACUUAGUUUCUAGUAAUUUAAUCUGUUUGUCUAUUCUUGAGCUAGUACAACAUAGUUCAUUUUAAUAUAUGUUUGGAGAAAAUUCACCUCAGAAGGUAAGCUUCAUGAGGGCAACCUACCUAUCCCUUAGAGAUGAUUAAAUGAGUUAAUACAUGAAAGCAAUUGGAACAAUUCCUGGCACAUAGUAAGAGCUCUCCAAAUGGUUAUUAUUAAAGCCCAGUUCUACCAUCAUACUACAUUUUAAGACCAUCUUUGCUGGCUGCCUUCUUAUAUCUUUGGUUCACAACUGUAUUCCCAGUGGCUAGACUAGUACCUGGCACGUACUAGGAUUUGCUAAAUACAGGUUGAAAGUAUGAGUAAAUGCACAAACCUCAGGCAUUCUGAGCCUCAAUUUCUUGACUUUCUGUUUUUCUCUUGUUACAAUAGAGAAAGCUCAGAUUUAUAGUUGGAAGCCUCUCUAACGUAAAAUAGGCUCAAAACAGUUUGUGCCCUCCUGGCUACCGUAAUAAAACAUCACUAAAUCAUUAUUGUCAUCAACAAAUAUGUGCAGAGCAGUAUGGUAGAUGCAGGGGAUGCAAAGAUUCUACACAAGACAUACUCUCUGCUAUUGUUCUGGUUGGGAAAGAAAAGUAUGUUUAUGUACAUGUGUACACACACACAGAUACAAAAAAAUA
rnacentral:lncRNA from 1 species